GUGACAGCAGCUCUUCCCUUAUCUUUGGCGAGCACAGAAAGAUUGCACUCACGAUAUACAUUCAUUUACUGUAUUUGAACAUAUUUGAACCAAUCAUCUUAUGACAUCUUAUUCAAGUAUACCAGUGCCACUGUCUUCCUCUUUAAGCAUGUGCAGAAUGUAAAUAGUGAAUGUGUGUCAACAGGAAGUUCCCAUCCAAGUGGCAGGUGUGUUUAGCCUCCAUGGUGUGCCUCACAUCAUUAUGUGCAGCAGUCUUUGUUGGCUUUGAAUGUCAGUUGGACCAGUACAUUCUUUGAAGUGAUAUCACAAGAUUCAGUGGCAUCAGGGCUGGCAUCACUCUCCUGUCACCACAGGUGCACGACAUGGCAAAGACCCCCCACCCAUCCAUGUAGAAGAAACACAACAUGGACCUACUUUUCUCUUGCACGGUUUGGAGAUGGAUUGUGGCUGCAUGUAUUCUUUGAGCUCCUCCUUCUGACAGUUACACAUGAUCAUAAUCAUCAUGGGGUGAUGAAGUCAUGCACAGUGGCUCUGGAGCUUUGAUUGAAGGAGAGGCCAUAAGUUACAAAUCCUCAAGCAUCUACGAUUCCCUCCUUUGAACGCUGUUAUUUUAAAGUUUCCAUCAAAGAUUAUCUGUCAUUAUCAAUGUUGGACAGGUCCAUGAGGAAUGGGAUUGCACUCAUGUAUACAGGGGACGGUUUUAAAAUCAGUCUCUAUGGAAUCAUGACAAAAGCCUAAUGUCUAGUAAACAUUCAAUGGCCGAAUGAACUCAAGGUGUAGGUGUCAUUUGAAUGCAACUUGAAUUUAUUUCGAUUGAAACAUGAAUAUUGUGUUAUAUAAAAGGACUUUAAUUGGUCAAACUUUAUUGUACAAACAAAAUUAUACAGAAAUGGCAAU
ensembl:lncRNA